UCCCUGGUGGUCUAGUGGCUAAGACUCCACACUCCCAGGGCAGGGGCCCAGGUUCAAUCCCUGAUCAGGGAA
rnacentral:tRNA from 1 species